CCUACGGGUGGCAGCAGUAGGGAAUCUUUCACAAUGGGCGAAAGCCUGAUGGAGCAACGCCGCGUGCAGGAUGACGGCCCUCGGGGUGUUAACUGCUUUUUUAAGCGAGAUAUAUUAUGGUAACUUAUGAAUAUGGUAUGUCCAACUACGUUACAGCAGCCCCGGUUAUACGUAGGCUCCGAGCAUUAUCCGGAGUGACCGGGGGUUAAGAGGUGCGUUGGUGGCAUAGUAAGUCGCUAGUGAAAUCUGGAGGCUCAAACAUUCAGACUGUUAGCUAAACUGCUAAGCUCGAGAACGUUAGGGGUAGGUGGAAUUUCUGGUGUAGGAGUGAAAUGCGUAGAUAUUAGGAAGAACGCCGAUAGCGUAGGCAGGUUACUGGGACGGUACUGACACUGAGGCACGAAAGCGUAGGUAGCAAACAGGAUUAGAUACCCUGGUAGUC
rnacentral:rRNA from 1 species